rnacentral:rRNA from 1 species
GAGUUAACUGAACCUUCGGGGAACGUUAACGGCGUCGAGCGGCGGACGGGUGAGUAAUGCCUGGGAAAUUGCCCUGAUGUGGGGGAUAACCAUUGGAAACGAUGGCUAAUACCGCAUAAUAGCUUCGGCUCAAAGAGGGGGACCUUCGGGCCUCUCGCGUCAGGAUAUGCCCAGGUGGGAUUAGCUAGUUGGUGAGGUAAUGGCUCACCAAGGCGACGAUCCCUAGCUGGUCUGAGAGGAUGAUCAGCCACACUGGAACUGAGACACGGUCCAGACUCCUACGGGAGGCAGCAGUGGGGAAUAUUGCACAAUGGGCGCAAGCCUGAUGCAGCCAUGCCGCGUGUAUGAAGAAGGCCUUCGGGUUGUAAAGUACUUUCAGCAGUGAGGAAGGUGGGUAUGUUAAUAGCAUACUCAUUUGACGUUAGCUGCAGAAGAAGCACCGGCUAACUCCGUGCCAGCAGCCGCGGUAAUACGGAGGGUGCGAGCGUUAAUCGGAAUUACUGGGCGUAAAGCGCAUGCAGGUGGUUUGUUAAGUCAGAUGUGAAAGCCCGGGGCUCAACCUCGGAAUUGCAUUUGAAACUGGCAAACUAGAGUACUGUAGAGGGGGGUAGAAUUUCAGGUGUAGCGGUGAAAUGCGUAGAGAUCUGAAGGAAUACCGGUGGCGAAGGCGGCCCCCUGGACAGAUACUGACACUCAGAUGCGAAAGCGUGGGGAGCAAACAGGAUUAGAUACCCUGGUAGUCCACGCCGUAAACGAUGUCUACUUGGAGGUUGUGGCCUUGAGCCGUGGCUUUCGGAGCUAACGCGUUAAGUAGACCGCCUGGGGAGUACGGUCGCAAGAUUAAAACUCAAAUGAAUUGACGGGGGCCCGCACAAGCGGUGGAGCAUGUGGUUUAAUUCGAUGCAACGCGAAGAACCUUACCUACUCUUGACAUCUACAGAAGCCAGCGGAGACGCAGGUGUGCCUUCGGGAACUGUAAGACAGGUGCUGCAUGGCUGUCGUCAGCUCGUGUUGUGAAAUGUUGGGUUAAGUCCCGCAACGAGCGCAACCCUUAUCCUUGUUUGCCAGCACUUCGGGUGGGAACUCCAGGGAGACUGCCGGUGAUAAACCGGAGGAAGGUGGGGACGACGUCAAGUCAUCAUGGCCCUUACGAGUAGGGCUACACACGUGCUACAAUGGCGCAUACAGAGGGCGGCCAACUUGCGAAAGUGAGCGAAUCCCAAAAAGUGCGUCGUAG